UGGUUUUUUUCCUCUUGUUUCUUGGUGAAAAAAGUACUAAGCUCAGUCGGGCUGCCUAGACAGUGAGAUCUAGAAGCGUGCAGUCUUACUCCUGCAGAGUAAUGAGGUAUAAGCUGUUUGGUUUCUCCAAGUAGUCUUAGUAUGAUAAUUGACUGUGACUGGUUCAUUUCUUCCAGUUUGUCACACUGAAAUAUAGAUGAAGAGUACCUGAAGUGGAAAUGCUAAAUCACGCUUGAACCAGUGAUUGAGCACCUGGUAGAAAGGCAGGGCCACCCACGGGAGCUCAGGUGCAUGCAGUGCACCUGAAGGAAGGGGUAGGGCCAGGAUCCACCCCUUCCCAAACUUUAAUUGUUGGCAGUGGAGAUGAGGGUAUCUUGCUGGAGAUUCUUGCCUACCUGAGGCCUGCCAAGGGCUCAGAACUUUCCCUCAGAUGUGAUUCUCCUCACAACUGGCAUUUCUGGAGUUUUAAAAAGCUUUUAAUUGUGUUAGAGACUCUGAAUUAUGGACAUUUCCUUGAUCAGCCCAGAAGUUUCUGUACACUUCAACCUUCCUGAAAUCUGCAGAUGUUCCUCCCCUGUGGUUUCCAGUCUCUUGGUUCAAGACAGAAACUUCUUUAUUAGUAGUGGAUUGCAGGGGCAAUAUAAAGAGGAGAAGAACGGCAACAAAUUGCUCCGCUUCUAAUGACAACAAGUGAUUUGAAUCUGACACUGAUGGGAUACUUUGAGAAGCUACCAUAAAUUCUCUCAAAUCUUUCUUUCUCCUUGCCUGCCCUCUGGCAAAACAACAACAACAACAACAAACAACAACUACAGAAGUAGCUAUUGCCCAGGAAUUGAGCAGGAAAUUCUUCAUUUCCACCUGUAGCCCUGGAAUAUUGUCUGACAAGCACAAGAAAAAUAAGCUCACUAUCAGCUCAUCUUUGCUUAGUGAAGAGUUGGUGAAGGUUGUAUUUUUACAGAAGAGAUUGUUUCCAGUUGUAUUCAAGUUGUUAGAUGUUUCCUUGCUCCCUUUCUCAAUUUCAAAACAAGUGGACAUCAUACCUCUAAAAUCACUGACUGAUAGCUUGAACUGGAGUCUUCCAGAUACGCCUGAGUGGACUGUUUUUCAUGGUCAUUCAUACCUGUUAACUUGGAUAACAAUAUCAAAAAAGAUUCCUGAAUAGUCUCUUGUAUUGUAGUAACCAAAGAAUAUAUGCCAGACAUUCCUCCAGAGAGGGAUGCAAGGUGAGCCCUGUUUUUCCUUAACUAAUUUCUGUGCACCUUUUGAAACCACCAAGCCAUGCUUGAGCUAAGUGAAACCUCAGUGAAUUUUUUUACUGUGCACAGUCUGUCAUUUGUUGAGCUCAUCUAAACUACUUUCACAAUUACUCUGUCUUUUUUAGGAAAUAUUUUAUCUCCCUUUAUAGACAGCACACAGUAGUAACCUGCACCCAUUUCACGCAACUGUGGCACUGCUGCUUUAUUCUCUUUGUACAUAUGCAGUUAUCUGUUGUAGUGUUUUUUUUCUACUUAAUGUGGAAUUUUCUGAGCUAAUAAACUAAUGAAGA